rnacentral:rRNA from 1 species
CUGGGAUGUGAUGGGGAGCGAAAUUUAGUAGCGAAGUAGCUGAUUUCACACUGUCAAGAAAAGUCUCUAUCGAGGUUAAAGGUACCCGUACCGCAAACCGACCCAGGUGGGUGAGGAGAGUAUCCUAAGGCCAGCGAGAGAACUGUUGUUAAGGAACUCGGCAAAAUGACCCCGUAACUUAGGGAUAAGGGGUGCCACCAUCAGG